rnacentral:rRNA from 1 species
UCGAACAUAAGAUGACUGUAGGUGAAAGCUUACAUCUCUUCGGAGCAUUUUACGAGGUGCUGCAUGGUUGUCGUCAGCUCGUGCCGUGAGGUGUCGGGUUAAGUCCCAUAACGAGCGCAACCCUACCUUUAGUUGCCAUCAGGUAAUGCUGGGGACUCUAAAGGAACUGCCUACGCAAGUAGUGAGGAAGCGGGGAUGACGUCAAAUCAGCACGGCCCUUACGUCCAGGGCUACACACGUGCUACAAUGGCCGAUACAGAGGGCAGCUACCUGGUGACAGGAUGCAAAUCUCCAAAGUCGGUCUCAGUUCGGAUCGGAGUCUGCAACCCGACUCCGUGAAGUUGGAUUCGCUAGUAAUCGCGCAUCAGCCAUGGCGCGGUGAAUACGUUCCCGGGCCUU